AGGGGUUCUGAGAGGAAGGUCCCCCACACUGGAARUGAGACACGGUCCAGMCUCCUCCGGGAGGCAGCAGUGAGGAAUAUUGGUCAAUGGUCGGAAGACUGAACCAACCUAGUWGCGUGAAGCACGCAAUUCAAUGGAUUGUAAACUUCUUUUAUACGGGSUUAAAACCCACUACGUGUAGUGGUUUGUGUGUACCGUAUGKAUAAGCAUCGGCUAACUCCGUGCCAGCAGCCGCGGUAAUACGGAGGAUGCGAGCGUUAUCCGRAUUUAUUGGGUUUAAAGGGAGCGUAGMCGGGAUGUUAAGUCAGCUGKGAAAGUUUGGGGCUCAACCUUAAAAUUGCAGUUGAUACUGGCGUCCUUGAGKGCGGUUGAGGUAUGUGGAAUUCGUGGUGUASCGGUGAAAUGCUUAGAUAUCACGAAGAACUCCGAUUGCGAAGGCAGCAUACUAAGCCGCUACUGCGUU
rnacentral:rRNA from 1 species